AUUGAACGCUGGCGGCAUGCCUUACACAUGCAAGUCGAACGGUAACAGGUCUUCGGAUGCUGACGAGUGGCGAACGGGUGAGUAAUACAUCGGAACGUGCCUAGUAGUGGGGGAUAACUACUCGAAAGAGUGGCUAAUACCGCAUGAGAUCUACGGAUGAAAGCAGGGGAUCGCAAGACCUUGUGCUACUAGAGCGGCCGAUGGCAGAUUAGGUAGUUGGUGGGAUAAAAGCUUACCAAGCCGACGAUCUGUAGCUGGUCUGAGAGGACGAUCAGCCACACUGGGACUGAGACACGGCCCAGACUCCUACGGGAGGCAGCAGUGGGGAGUUUUGGACAAUGGGCGCAAGCCUGAUCCAGCAAUGCCGCGUGCAGGAUGAAGGCCUUCGGGUUGUAAACUGCUUUUGUACGGAACGAAAAGCCCUGGGUUAAUACCCUGGGGUCAUGACGGUACCGUAAGAAUAAGCACCGGCUAACUACGUGCCAGCCGCCGCAGUAAGAC
rnacentral:rRNA from 1 species